rnacentral:rRNA from 1 species
AUUGAACGCUGGCGGCAUGCUUUACACAUGCAAGUCGAACGGCAGCGCGGGGCCAACCCUGGCGGCGAGUGGCGAACGGGUGAGUAAUGUAUCGGAACGUACCCAGUCGUGGGGGAUAACGUAGCGAAAGCUACGCUAAUACCGCAUACGAUCUAUGGAUGAAAGCGGGGGACCGUAAGGCCUCGUGCGAUUGGAGUGGCCGAUAUCAGAUUAGGUAGUUGGUGGGGUAAAGGCCCACCAAGCCGACGAUCUGUAGCUGGUCUGAGAGGACGACCAGCCACACUGGGACUGAGACACGGCCCAGACUCCUACGGGAGGCAGCAGUGGGGAAUUUUGGACAAUGGGCGCAAGCCUGAUCCAGCAAUGCCGCGUGCAGGAUGAAGGCCUUCGGGUUGUAAACUGCUUUUGUACGGAGCGAAAAGGCUCUCUCUAAUACAGGGGGCUCAUGACGGUACCGUAAGAAUAAGCACCGGCUAACUACGUGCCAGCCGCCGCAGUAA